CACAUUGCCAAAUUCUAUCAGUAAUCUAAAGCAUCUCAGAUUUCUCAACCUCAAUCACAAUAAGAGGAUAAAGAAACUUCCAAAUUCAAUAUGCAAGUUGUUUCAUCUGCAAACGUUGUGGCUUAUCGGAUGUAAGGGAUUCGAGAAUCUGCCCAAGGAAUUUGGGAACCUCAUCAAUUUGAGGAAUUUACAGAUCACCACGAAACGGAGGGCUUUGACAGGGAUAGGACGCCUGGAAUCUCUUCGUAUUUUACAUAUUGACCAAUGUGAAAAUCUAGAAUUUCUGCUUCAAGGGACGCAAAGCCUCACUGCCCUUUGGUCAUUGCGUAUUGGCAGUUGUAGGAGUUUGGAGACUUUGUCACCUAGCUUGAAACAACUGCCCUCGUUAGAGCAUCUCGUGAUUUUCAAUUGCGAAGGGCUCAAUUCACUGGAUGGAAAUGGGGAAGACCACGUUCCAGGGCUCGAGAAUCUACGAGUUUUGAUUCUUACAAAAUUACCAAAGUUGGAGGCACUGCCAGUGUGCAGCCUCACAUCCCUUGACAAACUUAUGAUUAGAGAAUGCCCUCAAUUGACUGAAAGAUGCAAGAAAACAACAGGGGAGGAUUGGCAUAAAAUCUCUCAUGUCUCAGAGAUAUAUAUUGAUGGCGUCAAAACACCAGAAAAUUAAGCAAGGGAAUCAGAAUAAGCCACCCAAAUCUCCUGAAAUAGAGGUGAAUAUGCUAGUGGUUUUCAUCAGCGAUGGUCCGAUGGAGAGAACCACCAUGGGCUCAGGUUCAACGGCUAAAAGGUGUGGUGUUGUAACAGGGGCCGACAAAGGAAUAGGAUUGGAGGGAUUUUGGUCAUAUUAACUGCUAGAGAUGAGAAAAGGGGUAUUGAAGCUGUCAAAAAUCUGAAAGCAGCUGGACUCUCUGAUGUGGUUUUUCAUCACCUUGAUGUAAAAGACCCUGCCAGCAUUGCUUCAUUGGCAAAAUUUAUUGAAACCCAUUGCAGAAAAUUACAAAUCCUGUGUUUUCAGGUGUAUUUUCAUCUUCGUAUGAUAGAUUCAGAAUGAGGGAACCAUUGACGAUCGUUGAGAUUUGGCUGAACAAACGUGGAGAAAGCUUGUGAAAAUAGAAGAUUCUCACAGCUGUGUAGUUCUGUAUAACAGUGCACAAGGGUCUACAUAAGCUCAAUUCAGUUGUGCUCAUGCAGAAGUUUGCACACACCCUCAGUUACCAAGUCUGUGUACUUGGGAGCCUCUUCGAGUCUGCAAAGGCAGACCUGCAGACCAACCAGUUGCCACUCUCCUGCAAAUUAAGUUAUUUCUAAUAUGGAAUAUUUAGAAAGCAUUAAAACACCAGUGAGACAUCAUUCCAUAGAGAGAUCUUCUUCUACCUUCAUCGCCAUUGCAGCUAUCUCUCAUUAAUUUGUGCUUUUAUUUUCCAGUUUUCUUUAUGAUUUGUAGUUGAGUGUUUCAGUUUGGAUUUGGUAAACUAUCUUCAGUUCAUAGUUCUGAUGUAAGCUUUCUUAGCUGUAGUAGGCCUUGAUUAUCAUUUCAGCAUUUGAGUACUCUUA